AUGAGUGGGCUGGAAGUGUCGAGAGAUGAGUUUGGAUUGGUCUGCGGUGUAGCACCUUGUGUCUAUAAAAUGAGCUGCUCGUAAUGUGUAGAUAGUCCUUUCUACUGCAGUUUUUUUCUACUGCAGUUUUUUUUCUCCAAAAGAUAUAACGUUAUCCAUGGAGACAUACAAAUGUUGCUACUGCUCUCAAUAACAUUGCUGCCCUGAAUUUAUCAAGCACUAUCGACAAAGGUCAGUGGGAAAAAGUUGUAAUGGACUACUUUCUGGAGGACGAUCGUGCCAUGCUGACUCUCUCUGACUCUGAAAAUGAAUCAGGCGAUGAGGAAAUCCCUGAUUUAGGUAAAAACAUUUUAAUUGAAGAAAACAUUCUAGAGUCUUCUGAUGACAGUGAUGGAGAAGAAAUGGCGACAAUCAACAGUGUUGUUGUCACGGAAGAAGUUAACUUUAGUUUUGAAAUCUGUGGAAUUUCUGGUAGAAUCAGUAUGAUAAGGAGAUUAAUGGAAUUCUGCUGUUUGAUUGCAAAUGCAUAAGGAGUCGAAAAGAACACAGAAUGCUGUUGUGUAUAACACAUGUAUCCGGAUUACAUAUUCAAACUAAGGAAAACCAUGGUAUCGGUGACAGAGAUGGAGAAAGAUCUGAUGAUUACGGUAUUGCACAUGCAUCACGCCUAACUGUCCUCCACAAGUCAUACAAAGAGAAUAGUAUAAUCCCUCCCAUCAAAAAGAGAGCUGGCCCAAGCAAGCACAGGUUACACCUGAAGCAUGAGGACUUGCAGCGAGUGGUGAACUUCAUCAACAGCUGCAGAGGAUAAUGCAAUAGUAUUACCAGGAUGCCACCCAGGACACAAACACUUUGGUAGAAAGUGAACACUUUGUCUGAGAUUGCUGGUGUUGUGAAGGACAGCACUGUGACAGGGGUCAACAUCUCAGCUGGUUGGACUGGAGGAUGGUACGGUGCUGGUGGAAAGCUAUGGCUGGCAACAACACCUGAUUCCGUCAUUCAGGCAGCUGCCACAGAUCAAGCAGUGCCAGCACUUCAGCUUCAAUGCUAUGGAGCCUGGUCUUGUUAUCGCCAAUGAGCGUUCGGACUCAGUCGGGACCAGGUUUCAGCUGCUGCUCACUGCUGACAUCCUUCCUCCCAUAGAUGGUCUGCCUGUACAAGCACCACCUGGACUGGACACAGCUAGACAAAUGUAUCUUUUUGAGAAGAUCAAGGAGUUUUGCGACGAAGAGGUUGACAUCACAUGCCCUGCACCAAAGUCAAGGGCAGGACAGAAACAGGCUCUCCGAACAUAGAUUCCCUGUUCAUGCGUGGUUCAGACGGACCAGUCAUCAGCACUAUCUGCAGUGCCUCUAUUCAAAUGACUCACUCCAUACGUUGCUUCUACUAUUUAUUUUUUUUAUCCUGCUGCUCAGCCACUUUACCUCUGAUUAUAUGCAUACAACUACCUUGUAUAUCACUAUCGUUAUUGAUAUUGUUUGUGUACAUACUGCAUAUUAUUUUAUUUAUAUUGACACUACCGGUCAAAAGUUUCAGAACACCUACUCAUUAAAGGGUUAUUCUUUAUAGAGAAAAUAGUAAAAAUAAAGAAAAGCCCUUGAAUGAGUAGGUGUUCUAAAACUUUUGACCGGUACUGUAGUUGUGUUAAAGGGGGAAUAAUUGAACAAAAUGAUCUCCUCCUCCUCCAAAUGGCUGUGAAAUUACCUCAGGGCAUCAGGGAAUUAUAUUGUUGUGGAAAGCAACAUCAGUCCAUCAGUCUCUCCACUUCAGAGGGAUCAGGUAGUAGAAUGGACCCUCCAUCCUAGGCCCCUGUCAACGUGAUUAAAACCCCUUAACCGGGUGGCACCAACUGGAUCCAGACAACAACAGGGGUGACCCCGAUCCCCCUGCACUGAGCACAACAUCCCUGGGCUCCAUGCACUGUGCCUGGCCAUGGCAGGAAGGAGGGAGACUCUCUGGAGCACAACACAACUCUCAAACGAGAAGCGGAGGGAACAGGCAGAGGAAGAGGGAGAAAGAGCAUAAAUUGUUGAUGAAAAUGCGUGAACGCGUGAACAUUUACAGUGAAAGGAAAAAAGUAUGUGAACCCUUUAGAAUUGCCUGGAAUUCUGCAUAAAUUGUUAAUCAAAUUUGAUCUGAUCUUCAUCUUUAAAAAAAUAUAUAUUUCACCUUUAUUUAACCAGAUAGGCUAGUUGAGAUCAAGUUCUCAUUUACAACUGCGACCUGGCCAAGAUAAAGCAAAGCAGUGCGACAAACAGCACAGAGUUACACAUGAAAUAAACAAACAGUCAAUAAUACAAUAGAGAAAGUCUAUAUACAUGUAUUCAAAUGAGGUAGGAUAAGGGGGGUGAGGCAAUAAAUAGGCCAUAGUGGCAAAAUUAUUACAGUAUGGCAAAUUCAACACUGGGAUGAUAGAUGUGCAGAAGAUGAAUGUGCAAGUAGCGAUACUGGGGUGCAAAGGAGCAAAAUAAAUAACAAUAUGGUGAUGAGGUAGUUGGUUGGUGUCACGUUCUGACCUUUAUUUCCUUUGUUUUGUCAUUAUUUAGUAUGGUCAGGGCGUGAGUUGGGGUGGGCAGUCUGUUUGUUUUUCUAUGAUUUGGGUAUUUCUAUGUUUCGGCCUAGUAUGGUUCUCAAUCAGAGGCAGGUGUCAAGAGUUGUCUCUGAUUGAGAAUCAUACUUAGGUAGCCUGGGUUUCACUGUGUGUUUGUGGGUGAUUGUUCCUGUCUCUGUGUUUGCACCAGAUAGAACUGUUUGGGGUUUUCACGUUUCUUGUUUUUGUAUUCAGUUGUUCAUUUGUACAUUUACGUAUUAAAAGAACCAUGGACACUUACCACGCCG